CUAGAAAAGAGACGGAGGAAGGGGAGGAAUGUAGGCAACCUGUGGGCUAAAUAUUACAACUUGGGAGUAUCCAGAAGACCACAGCAGACCACAUAUCAAGAUGUCCUAAACUUAGAUCAGCACCAACAGCAGCUGCCACUUCCUGCCACUUAGGUUGUGCCCUGAUACCUACAGUGAGCUGCACGUCUGGCUUCUUUUCCAGAAGAACCAUGUCACCAGGCAAGCCAAAGGACUUGGCUUGAUUUCCAGGAAAUGACGCUCACACAGCGAUAGCAGAGCCCCACCGAGGGCCCAGAAGAACAGCAAGACAUCAUUACCUUGUCCCCCAGGUAGGAGGCGGGUGCGACCCAGGACGCGCUGCGGACGGUUGUGGGCAGCUCCUGGAGAUCCGCCACCAUGCUGUUGCUGCCCGGGUUGAAUGAGACGGGGAUAUCCACUCUGUCUGCCGUCUCCAGGCGCCAGCCCAGCAUAUCCACAAACUGGAAUGAGGGAGAGAAGCAAGGGACGGAAACAUCUUGAUUGUGGCAUCCCUGGUGACGGCUGCAUGAUGUCCUAGAGAAAGCUUGACGGGCAGCCUCCUUGCCUCAGAGGCUUUAUGUGUCUCCUCUGGCACCUGCCCUCCCGAUCCCGAGCCCCAUCGGACCCAUUGCCACUGGGAGUUCUGGGAAGGCAGCGGCCACACAUACGUGGGAUUUAUCUUUGUAACCCAGCACACAUCCUGGUUCUUGACAUUUAGUAGGUGAUCAAUAAGUGUUCACAUAAUAAAGAAAUACGUGUAUGAAUAAAAACUAGGACUAUGG